UCUAAGACUGCUUUUAUGUGCUGAAACCCUUGUCUUUUUUUUUUUUUUUUUUUAAGAUUUGUUUAUUUUAUAUGUAUAUGCUUGAGUGUGUGUAUGUGUACCUAUAGAGACCAGAAAGGGGCAUUGGAUCCCUGGAAUUGGAGUUAGAUGGCUUUGAGUCACCUGAUAUUGAUGCUGGGAACUAAACCUGGAUGCUCUGGAAAGCAGCAGGUGCUCUUAAGCACUGAGCCAUCCCUCUGGUCCAGCCAUCUCUGUCCACCACACUUUUGCAGAUUUAAUUUUAAAUUAAAUUUGGAUACAUUUUUAAAUUUUUUCAUUAGAUAAGAAAAGUCUUGUUCUGAACAUUGACUUUAGAAGUCUGCUUAACCCAGGCAAGAGGAGAGAGGAGGGUUGUGGGGCACUGGCCCUCACUGUCCUGUUGGUUAUUUUUAGGUCUCUUGUAGCCCAGGCAUUGAACUCAGUGUGUAGCCAAGGGUGACCGACCCCCGGCCUUCUCCCUGCAGAGUGCCAGUACAGUUGUAACUCAUGUAACUCAUUGUCUCUCCUCUUGCCUCUGUGUUCCUUGUGCUGGCCUUCCGUGUGGAGCCGCCAUGCUUGGUGUUCUUGUGGUGCUAGGGCUCACACUGAGGUCUUCCUGCCUCCCAGCCUGACCGGGCUCUGAGUGCUCUCACUUGACUUGUUAUGGUCUGCACUGAUUUUCUGAUGGGUUUGGAGAGUACAGUUAGACAUUGACAUUGGCAGUUGGUGAGUGAGUAUCCCCACACUUGUGAGUAAAAUGCUCAUUCUUGCUAAGAUGCCAUUUCCUUUUAGAGUAAGGAAAGAGAUGUGUUCUUGGUAAAGGAACACCCUGACCCAGGAAGCAAAGACCCAGAAGAAGAUUACCCCAAGUUUGGACUUUUGGAUCAGGUACAUUAAUCUUCCUUCUUUGUCUCUCUGUCUCUCUCUCCCGUAUGAGGUCUGUGCAUUGUGUUUGUGUGUGGCUGCAGAGGCCAGACGAGGGAGUGGAGCAGAGCUCUAGGAACCCGAGUUACAGACACUUGUGAGCUCCCUGCAGUGCUGGGGACUCCAAGCUGGGACUGCUGGGAGAGCAGCAGUGCUCCUAGCCACUGAGCCAUCUCUCCUGCCCCAUAGUCUUUUUUUUUUAAUCAGAAGCCAUUUAGGGGCGGUGAAGCAUGUGGCCAGGGAUGUGGCCGAGUUGAGAGCAGUCCUUGCCUGGGAGUCCUGGUGUGUUCAUGGUGAUGCAGUGAGGAGGUGCAAACAAGGAAGAGCACGAGUUUGAGGCCAGCCUGGGCUACAUGAGGCCUUGACUCAAAUAAAAAGUGUUCAAGCCUUAAAAUAAGAGUUCAUAUCCCCAGCUCCCCGGUUCCCAGGAGUUAGUGGUGAUCUCUUUGUCACAGGAUCUCACUGUAGCCCAGGUUAGCUUAAACUCAAGACUGUUCUUCCUGCCUUGGCUCUCUCUGCUGGGGUUACGUGUGUGAGGCGCAGUGCCUGGCUCAGGAACCGGUUUUGAUUCUGGUUGUUCCUCGGUGUUAGGGAUUACUUUUUGUAAGUUUUUUUCUAAUCUUCCUGUUAUCUGAAAUUUUGCUUCUAAAAGCAUUCUUUAGUGUGAAGAAAUUUCUGGGGAAUCUGUUGUUAGAUCCUUAUGGGAAAAAGAAAUUUCCAUUUUUUGUUGCAAAGGACACAUUGGCAACUAAGAAGAUUUGCCUUAAAGUGUCUGACUUGCUGCCUUUUUUGAGAUGAGAUCUGUCAGUGUAGCAUGACACUGUGGGGACCUCUGUCCUCAGCCACCUUCCCAGUCGCUGAGGUGGGAGCUCACUGCUACCCAUGCAGAUUGAAGAGCUGCGGUGCCUCUAGGUGGUCACUGUUAUAGCAUGGACAGUGAAGAUUCAGGUUGCUGUCACAUACAGUGGGACAGCUCAGCUGUGAGGGCAGAGUGAGGGGACUUCAUCGUCCUGGCCUGCUGUGCAGCUCCCGCCUACCGGUUGAUUGGUCAGUUCCCUCCUGGAACCAUUCUGACCCUGACUCAUGGCACAUGCUCCUUCGUGAGUUGUUGAAGCAUCCAAGUUGAGGACCUUGCAGCUUGCUGUUUAGGACAUGACUUUGAUUUUCUGUGCUCUAAUUUUGUCCAUUUUUGGAGCAGUUGCCAGAUUAAUUUGCUCAUGUGGCCUUUUUUUUACUAGGAUAUUUCUUCUUCUAGGAUCUUAGUAAUAUUGGUCCUGCUUAUGACAACCAGAAACAAAGCAGUGCUGUGUCUGCUAGUGGGAACCUAAAUGGUAUGUGUUUAAGUAUCUUGUCAGAAGCUUUGUGAAUGAUGAAAGCCUUGCCUGCAAUGUGGUGCUCUGUAGGAGGAGCCAAACCUGGGUAAUUACUAAAGUGUUUUUAAAUUGACAUGCAUACUGUAGCAGCUCACUAAAUACUUGGGAAAUGAUAAUGGAAGAGAGCUUUUGCCACCUUACAGCAGUUUGGUCUUAUUACACAUUAUAAUUUUAAACACUAGUAUAUUAUACAUUAGUUUUGUGUAAAACUAAUGGGAUGUACUGUGAAUUUCUAAUUAUGCAUACAUCAAAUAUUAAUAAUGUCCAUCCACCCAAAUUCAAUUAGGACUGAAGUGAGGCAGAUUUCAUGUAAGAUAGUGUAGUAUACUUUGAAGGUUAGACUUCCUGCAUUUUUGUUAGAUUCCGCAUCUGUAUGAUAAUAAACACCUAACCUGGGAAAUUCAUUUGAUCUCUAUUCUUUUCCAUAGCCCAACAAUUGCUUGACAUGUUGACUUUGUCCAUCUAAUUUUUUCUUGCCCUGAAUAUUUCAGCAUACUCAUCUGUCAGCAUUUCUGUAUGGAUCCCCCACUAUGGCUCCCCCCACUCACCCCCGCCUCCCUUUUUUGGUAAUCCAGCUAACUAAUAGAGGGAAUUCUCUUUGUGCUAAUCUAAUAAAAACUAGGGGCCCAGGCAGUAGCUUGGUGGGUAUCCAUCCCACACAUGGCAACAUUCAUUAGCUUGUCUUUAGAAUUGGAGCAUCUUAGAUAGAUAAUCCAGUCCACAAUUAACUUUGUAAGGUGUGUUGGAAAUGCGAGUGUAUUGUUUCUGUUCUUACACCAUGCUUUCCCUUUGGACUGUUGAUAUCUGACAAUACAUAGUGCCACUUCUGUUCUUACAGGUGGAGCCACUUUGGGAGGUGAAUUCCUCUCUGUCUUCUUUCAGCCUCAGACUUAAGUAUCUUGUGGUUUGAAGUGCUUUUUGCUGAGCUUUGGUAGAAGCUAAACUCCAUAAUUUUAAAGCAUUGUGAAAGUGGUGUGGCAGCAGUUACUAUGAAGCUGUAGUUCCAGUUUAAUGGUGGGAAUAAAAGCUUGGUGUUGUCAUAUUCUGCCUAACAUGGCCAGCCAGCAGCCCCUUCAGUGUUGCUUACUCUGUUAAGCAACACCAAAUGGCAUAGAGGAUUUGGCAGGCUUUCGAUUGAUAAUCAUGGCAUCACAACUGCUUACAUUGACCUUUCAUGAGCUGUAUGAAUAGCAGCCAGGUUCAUAAAAGGACAUUGUGCAUUAAUCUGGUACUGUGUGUGCAGAAUAUGACCUGCUCUCCAUGUCCUCAUUCUUUUUAUUACAGCAGAGCUGCUGAUAAUUUCCAAGCUUGUCCCAAAUUUACACAUAGUACUCUAUGCAGUUGUUUACAUAAAGGUGUUUUCCUGCAGUUCAGGGACCAUUUUCUG
rnacentral:lncRNA from 1 species